GAGCCUGAGAAACGACUACCANANCCAAGGAAGGCAGCAGGCGCGCAAAUUACCCAAUCCCGACACGGGGAGGUAGUGACAAUAAAUAACAAUACGGGGCUCAUUUGGGUCUCGUAAUUGGAAUGAGUACAAUUUAAAUCUCUUAACGAGGAACAAUUGGAGGGCAAGUCUGGUGCCAGCAGCCGCGGUAAUUCCAGCUCCAAUAGCGUAUAUUAAAGUUGUUGCAGUUAAAAAGCUCGUAGUUGAACUUCGGGGUUUACCCAUUGGUCAGGCUUAAUUGUCUGUACUGGUGAGAUAAAUCUCUACCUUCUGAGGAACUUUCAUGUCAUUAAUUUGGUGUGAUUGGAAAUCAGGACUGUUACUUUGAAAAAAUUAGAGUGUUUAAAGCAGGCUAACGUCUGAAUACAUUAGCAUGGAAUAAUGAAAUAGGACGGAUUGAUUCUAUUUCGUUGGUUUCUAGGAUCACCGUAAUGAUUAAUAGGGAUAGUUGGGGGCAUUAGUAUUCAAUUGUCAGAGGUGAGAUUCUUGGAUUUAUUGAAGACUA
rnacentral:rRNA from 1 species